AGUACUGCUCUGUUAGCAGCAGGAGCAAAUGAAAGAAUUCAGUGUCAGCAUUUUCUGUUUCUCAUCUGACAAACAAGGUCAGGUACUUCUUUGAACAACCCAGUUCCAAUAGCUGUGAAACAUAAAGAGACAAGCAGGGGAAGAUUUUCCAGAAAGGCUGGUGGCUAGGCACAAGCAAAUUACACCAUUAAUGUCAUCCUGGCGAAUGAAACAAGAGAAUAGUAUUUAUCAGAGAAAGUCUGGUGAGUUGAAGUCCAAGACCCCAGGAAACAACUAGCCCUGCUGGGCUGCCCCUCCUUCGGAGUGGGACUAUAUGAUCCUCAUCAGGCCAAUCCACGUCACAGAAUGGUCUAGGCAUUGGAUGAGUGCCUCAAUCUGAGCCAAUGAAGGUCAUUGCUGAGACAUUUUACUGGUUGCCAGGCUGCAGGCAUCCCAGGCUUCCUGCUGCCCUCAUGUCUACAACCUGUCGUCUGGAACAUUCCAGGAGCCACUUUUAUCACUUGCAGCAAUCUUCUUCAAAUACCACAGACUGGGCAAUUUAUAAAUGAUGGAAGUUUAUUUGGCUCAUGGUUCUGGAGACUGGGAAGUCCAAGAACAUGGCACUGUCAUCUGGUG
rnacentral:lncRNA from 1 species